GUGACUUCAGUUUGUGUCUGACUCUUUCCGACCCUGUGGACUGUAGCCCUCCAGUCUCCUCUGUCCAUGAGAUUCUCCAGGCAAGAAUAAUGAAGUGGGUUGCCAUGCCCACCUCCAGGUUCACUGCUGAGCCAAAGCUAUUCUCCAUCUUGAAAAGAUCACAGAGUUUGUUUCAGUAUUCUGAGGAGACUGACCAGCAUAGUGUUGAAAGUGGCCUUAAACAUCUUCUUAGUGACCAGAUGGGAGCCUGAUCGGUUCAACCUGGAAUUCCUGAAGGAAAGGAGGAAACAAGAUUAACUUUCAAAACUAUUCCUCUGAUUUAGAAUUACUCUGAAUGAUACUCAUCUGAACCCCAGCAAGAACGUCAAGGCUCUACUUCUGCUAAUAAUUGGAACAACACCUAAUGCUUAAUGAU
rnacentral:lncRNA from 1 species